rnacentral:rRNA from 1 species
UACAGAGGGUGCGAGCGUUGUUCGGAAUUAUUGGGCGUGAAGGGCGCGUAGGCGGUGCGGUAAGUCACCUGUGAAAUCUCCUGGCUCAACUGGGAGCUUGCAGGCGAAACUGCCGUGCUGGAGUGUGGGAGAGGUGCGUGGAAUUCCUGGUGUAGCGGUGAAAUGCGUAGAUAUCAGGAGGAACACCGGUGGCGAAGGCGGGUCUCUGGGCAGUAACUGACGCUGAGGAGCGAAAGCGUGGGGAGCGGACAGG